GACGAACGCUGGCGGCGUGCUUAACACAUGCAAGUCGAACGGAAAGGCCCUGCUUUUGUGGGGUGCUCGAGUGGCGAACGGGUGAGUAACACGUGAGUAACCUGCCCUUGACUUUGGGAUAACUUCAGGAAACUGGGGCUAAUACCGGAUAGGAGCUCCUGCUGCAUGGUGGGGGUUGGAAAGUUUCGGCGGUAGGGGAUGGACUCGCGGCUUAUCAGCUUGUUGGUGGGGUAGUGGCUUACCAAGGCUUUGACGGGUAGCCGGCCUGAGAGGGUGACCGGCCACAUUGGGACUGAGGUACGGCGCAGACUGCAACGGGAGGCAGCAGUGGGGAGUAUGGCACAAUGGGCGGGAGCCUGAUGCAGCAACGCCGCGUGCGGGAUGACGGCCUUCGGGUUGUAAACCGCUUUCGCCUGUGACGAAGCGGGAGUGACGGUAAUGGGUAAAGAAGCACCGGCUAACUACGUG
rnacentral:rRNA from 1 species